UCCACCACCUGCAGCCCUCACAGAGGCUGAGGAGAUGGCCCUCAGCCAACAGAGUAUGCGUCCUGUGGCUGAGGGCAUCCCUGGGGGGAGCUCCUCUGAUCCCCCCCACCCCCCAGGAUAGAAGUGCCUUUACAGUAUAAGAGUUACUGAUGGCGUCAUCGCCCUACUUGAACCAGAUGCCCUCACCAACCUCCAUGCAAUUGUAACAAUUCAAAAGAUGCAAAAGGAUGCUUUGGAGAUCCAAAUUUUGGAACAUAAGUUAUAGG